GCACGGGUUUGGAUUUGUGGCAGGUCCGAUCCCAUGGGUCUCUCGGUGCCCCAUGCCAAAGCAAACUGUCACCCCAAACAAUUACCUGGCUUUACCCGGUGGGCUUAAGGCACUGAAGUGGGUUGCACAGUG